UACGAGGGGGGCGAGCGUUGUUCGGAAUUAUUGGGCGUAAAGGGUGCGUAGGCGGUUCCGCAAGUCCUGUGUGAAAUCUUCGGGCUCAACUCGAAGUCUGCACGGGAAACUGCGGGGCUUGAGUGUGGGAGAGGUGAGUGGAAUUCCCGGUGUAGCGGUGAAAUGCGUAGAUAUCGGAAGGAACGCCGGUGGCGAAAGCGACACACUGGGUCUCAACUGACGCUGAGGCACGAAAGCCAGGGGAGCGAACGGG
rnacentral:rRNA from 1 species